GAAAGUAAUGAAGGGCGUACGGUGGAUGCCUAGGCUCUUACAGGCGAUGAAGGACGUGAUAAGCUGCGAAAAGCCGCGGUGAGGCGCAAAUGGCCCUUGACCCGCGGAUCUCCGAAUGGGACAACCCAAUAUCUUGAAGAGAUAUUAUCCCGCCGGUGCGGGAGGCGAACGCGGGGAACUGAAACAUCUUAGUACCCGCAGGAAAAGAAAAUAAAGAAUGAUUCCCCCAGUAGUGGCGAGCGACCGGGGAACAGCCCAAACCGACGUUGUCUCGGCAUCGUCGGGGUUGUAGGACCGCGCCAUCGCAAGAAAGGCCGUGAGUGGAAGCGACUGGAAAGCCGCGCCAUAGAGGGUGACAGCCCCUUACACGAAGCAGCCCGAAGCGUAGCGGACUCCUGAGUAGCGCGGGACACGAGUAAUCCUGUGUGAAUCCGCCGGGCCCAUCCGGCAAGGCUAAAUACUCGUAAGAGACCGAUAGUGAACCAGUACCGUGAGGGAAAGGUGAAAAGUACCCCUUGCAGGGGAGUGAAAGAGUUCCUGAAACCGUACGCCUACAAGCGGUCGGAGCAUCUUGAAUGAUGUGACGGCGUGCCUUUUGCAUAAUGAACCUACGAGUUGCCGUCACCAGCGAGGUUAAGUGCGAUGACGCACCGAGCCGCAGCGGAAGCGAGUCUUAAAAGGGCGCAAUAGUUGGUGGAGGCAGACGCGAAACCGAGUGAUCUACACUUGUCCAGGAUGAAGUCCCGGUAACACGGGAUGGAGGUCCGCACCAAUAAGCGUUGAAAAGCUUCUGGAUGAGGUGAGUGUAGGAGUGAAAGGCCAAUCAAACUCGGAGAUAGCUCGUACUCCCCGAAAGGCAUUUAGGUGCCGCCUGUGGCGUUCCCGACGUGAGGUAGAGCGACUGAUAGGAUGCGAGGGCUUCACCGCCUAUCAAGUCCUGACAAACUCCGAAUGCACGUCGGCCAAGCCAUGGAGUAAGGGCAUGGGUGCUAAGGUCCGUGCCCGAGAGGAGAAGAAUCCAGACCACCGGCUAAGGUCCCGAAAUACUGGUUAAGUUAGACUAACGCAGUCCGGCCCCCAAGACAGCUAGGAUGUUGGCUUGGAAGCAGCCAUUCAUUCAAAGAGUGCGUAACAGCUCACUAGUCGAGGAGCUGGGCGUGGAUAAUAAUCGGGUAUGAAACCAGUUACCGAAGCCGUGGGAUGCUUAAGCAUCGGUAGGGGAGCAUUGCAUGCGGCUUAGAAGGCGGGGCGCGAGCCCCUCUGGAGCGCAUGGAAACGCAAAUGUAGGUAUAAGUAACGACAAGGGGGGUGGGAUGCCCCCCCGCCGAAAGACCAAGGUUUCCUGAACAACGCUAAUCGGUUCAGGGUCAGUCGGGUCCUAAGCAUAAGCCGUAUGGCGAGGGCGAUGGACGAAACGGUUAAUAUUCCGUUACUGUCUUGGUGUGUGACGCGGCGACGGAGUAGUGACACGGCCGCCUCCUGACGGAAAAGGGGGUUGAAGCGCAAAGGUGUCGAGGAAGGCAGGCAAAUCCACCUUCCGAGCCGAAGCGCGAAAGUACGCCGGGCCCUUUGGGGCAAGGCGAUAGUGCCGGUAAUCAGACUUCCAAGAAAACCCGCUAAACUUCAGCACCAAGUCACCCGUACUCUAAACGGACACACGUGGUCGGGUAGAAUAUACUAAGGCGCUUGGGAGAUUCACGGUUAAGGAACUAGGCAAAUUGACCCCGUACCUUCGGAAUAAGGGGUCCUCGCUUUUGCGAGGCGCAGAGAAUAGGUCCAGGCAACUGUUUAACAAAAACACAGGGCUGUGCAAAUUUGAAAGAAGAAGUAUACAGCCUGACACCUGCCCGGUGCCGGAAGGUUAAGAGGAGAGCUCAUCAGCGAUGAGAAGGCUUGAAUUGAAGCCCCGGUAAACGGCGGCCGUAACUAUAACGGUCCUAAGGUAGCGAAAUUCCUUGUCGGGUAAGUUC
rnacentral:rRNA from 1 species